GAAUGCUGACAUAAGUAACGAUAAAGCGGGUGAAAAGCCCGCUCGCCGGAAGACCAAGGGUUCCUGUCCAACGUUAAUCGGGGCAGGGUGAGUCGACCCCUAAGGCGAGGCCGAAAGGCGUAGUCGAUGGGAAACGGGUUAAUAUUCCCGUACUUGGUGUUACUGCGAAGGGGGGACGGAGAAGGCUAUGUUGGCCGGGCGACGGUUGUCCCGGUUUAAGCGUGUAGGUGUGUGUUCCAGGUAAAUCCGGUUCACUUUAACACUGAGGCGUGAUGACGAGGCACU
rnacentral:rRNA from 2 species